rnacentral:rRNA from 1 species
UACGUAGGGUGCGAGCGUUGUCCGGAAUUAUUGGGCGUAAGGGGCUCGUAGGCGGUUUGUCACGUCGGGAGUGAAAACUCAGGGCUUAACCCUGAGCCUGCUUCCGAUACGGGCAGACUAGAGGUAUGCAGGGGAGAACGGAAUUCCUGGUGUAGCGGUGAAAUGCGCAGAUAUCAGGAGGAACACCGGUGGCGAAGGCGGUUCUCUGGGCAUUACCUGACGCUGAGGAGCGAAAGUGUGGGGAGCGAACAGG